UGAAAUAGAUUAGACGAUAAUAACUCUGGAGGCGCGAUCAGAAAACGGGAGCCCACCGUACACUAAAAUAAUCUAAGUCAGAUAAUCACUGUUUGAAUGCUCAUACAGUCACCCAUUUGACUGUCUUAGCAACAGUGGAAUAGCGUCUGUUAUUAAAAGGACGAGGUAAAUUGGGCACUCGGUUGUAGGUGUCAUUAGUGUCUUGAUAAAGAGGCUUUUAGAUUUGUUAUGUUUUAAGCAGCUUUUGUCUGGGUUCAAGGAAGGAAGGAAUGUUGAAGUGCCAACAAUGAGUGUUUGUUGACCGGUGAUGCUGAGAAUGUGAGUCCUUGUUAUUGUUGGUACUUGAGCUGUUGUGUUGUGGGUGUUUUGUGGGUAUGUGUGUGGGUGGAUGUGUGGGUGUUUUGUGGGUAUGUGUGUGGGUGGAGGUGGAUGUGUGGGUGUUUUGUGGGUGUGUCGUGUGUGGAGAGAGGUGGUGUGGGUAGGUGUGUUUUGUGUGCGUGUCACUUGGUUAUUCACAAAUUUCUAGCAGAGCAGAAUGUGUAAUGGCCUAUUUUAAGCUGAAGGUUGAGCUGCAGUUGUUGGUCCCGUCUCCUAAACUUUAGCUCAAUUGACGUACACUCAUUUACUGGUCAAUCCAUACACCCUGGUGAUCAAUCAGGCUGUUGGUACCUGCAUCUCUCAACCAUGAGAGCUGGACUAAUGAGACGCAUCCUGCAGCAGCCUACCUCGUUACCUCCCCAUAGCCCUGAUGCUGCUCAAGGGUUCUUGAUUCAAGGAACUGGAGUUACCCCAUCCUGCUCCCAGGGAUCAAGACUGCCUUUGCCUCCCAUUCCCCAGGCGCUGUUUGACCCAUGCGGGUUUAGGGCUUGGUUUGUAAUGAACUUACAUUAUUGCGAGGCACACCACUGACAACCUCAGCACUCUUAUUACCUCUCCCAUACCCCUUCAUCCUCCACCUUCUACUUUUCCUGCUAGGUAGACAAGGGCAGCUCGUACUAAGCGAUGAUGUUAUACACUGGGCACGCUUCGGAUGUCACACUUGGCAAGAUGCCCACACACCCAGCUCUCUCUUGUCCCAUUCCAUGCUCAGUCCUUCAGGAGGCGAGGGAGAGCAACUCUCUGGGUUAUCCUGAAACACUUGUUGCAAAAGUUUGGAGCCAUCUUUUCACGUGACUACAACACCAACAGAAAACCAUUGCCAAGCUUGGGGCCUUACUGAACGCGGGAACUGAGCCCAGGCUGCCUCCCGAGACUUCCAGAGUUUCAAGAUGUGGCUCUGAAAAAUGGCUGCUCUAGUGGCUUGAAGUCUGAAUGUUGCUGUGAAAGUUUUACAGGGUUCAUCAGAACUUCAUUCAUGCAGAUUUGGAUUAAAACUGCAAAAUGUGAUUGUUUGAUUUUGAGAUGGCUUAUAUUCCUCCCCAUGUAAUAGACAGCAACUGCUUGUCCAUCAACUCUUCAUCCACAUCAACACAAGAACUACAGCCAUCUACCUCAACCCAGUAGGCUCAUCUCGACCCUUUCUACACUUCUGUUUCAAGAAGCACGACCAGAAUGUAACUUAUUCAGUACCAUAGUAACUUUUACUUAGUAUAAUAGUAAUUUUUUCUUAGUACAGUUGUAAUUUUUCCCUAUUACAAUAGUAAAAAUAAUUUUCCAUGGCAAAUUUGGAGGUAUCUGGAAUGUAAUCUUUUUUUUUUUUUUCCUUAAUGGUAUUUUAAGGCAUGUCAAUUUUGGGAAGCAUAACCUAUGUAGUAUGAGAUGGUGUAUUGUAUUUUCUUUCCAGUUUAGGAGACUUGGUUCAGGCCUAGAUCUAUAUAUUUUUUUUAAUUACAGAUUUUUUUAAUAUGCUGGCUGUCUCCUCCAAAGCAGGGUGACCCAAAAAAGAAAAUAGUUUCACCAUCAUUCACACUAUCACCAUCUCUCUAGAGGUGCACAGAUAUUACACGUAACUGCUGAACCCUUGUAUAGGUAUAAUAGGUAUAAUAUUAACCUUGUAAAAGGACUGUCUCUGACUACCCCACUAAAAAUUUCUAACAAAUUCUGUGUAGUGUUGUAUUUUAUUAUAAAAUAGAAUGGAAUGUACAGUACUUUGGUAUUGAACAAAAAGGCACAAUACCAUGACUGGAACAAUACACAGAUAACAUGCAUCCAAAGGACCCCAAUGGAAAUAAGUCACUCUGUCUGACUUUUUUGGGUUAUCCUAGGUUCUCUACACAUAUGCUGCUAUGUAUGAUAAUUCUAUGUAACUGUAUUUGUGUAUACCUGAAUAAACUUACUUACUUACUAGGAGAGAGAAGCUUACUUAGUGCUUUUUUGAUUAACCUCAUUUCUACUACUACCACCACCACUUCUACCAUUACUACCAUUCCUAUUACUGUUGCUUUACCACUAUUGUCUCCUUUCACUUUCCUUUCUAUCUCUUGUCUCACUAAAACUAUUCUCCCUACUUUCUACAACUACUACUGCUACCCAUUCCAGCCUUACCACUAC